rnacentral:tRNA from 1 species
GUGGGUGUAGCUCAAGUGGUAGAGUGCAUGCUUAGCAUGCACAAGGUCCUGGGCUCAAUCCCCAGCACCUCCA